rnacentral:rRNA from 1 species
AUUGAACGCUGGCGGCAGGCUUAACACAUGCAAGUCGAGCGAGCGGCGGACGGGUGAGUAAUGUCUGGGAAACUGCCUGAUGGAGGGGGAUAACUACUGGAAACGGUAGCUAAUACCGCAUACCACCAUGUGUGCACAGAUGGGAUUAGCUAGUAGGUGGGGUAAUGGCUCACCUAUGCGCCGAUCCCUAGCUGGUCUGCGAGGAUGACCAGUCCCACGGGAACUGAGACACUGUCCCGACUCCUACGGGAGGAAGCAGUGGGGAGUGUUGCACAGUGGGCGCAAGCCUGAUGCAGCCAUGCCGCGUGUGUGACGAAGGCCUUCGGGUUGUAAAGCACUUUCAGCUAGGAGGCGUUACUCGCAGAAGAAGCACCGGCUAACUCCGUGCCAGCAGCCGCGGUAAUAC